rnacentral:misc_RNA from 1 species
UAAUAAGUGUUUUAUGGCACUUUUUAAAUCCAUAUCCACCUUGUGUGCAAUGUCAGUCGAUCUUCUUCAUGGAGAUCGGCCAAACAUCAACCUUAUUUUUUAACUCUUUGUCUGAAAAACCUGUAUGAAUACUUAAUUCAAAUA